GAACUGAAGAGUUUGAUCCUGGCUCAGAUUGAACGCUGGCGGUAUGCUUAACACAUGCAAGUCGAACGGUAACAGGCCGCUGGGAUCCCUUCGGGGUGACCUUGGCGCUGACGAGUGGCGGACGGGUGAGUAAUACUUAGGAAUCUGCCCAGUAGCGGGGGACAACUCGAGGAAACUCGAGCUAAUACCGCAUACGCCCUACGGGGGAAAGCGGGGGAUCUUCGGACCUCGCACUAUUGGAUGAGCCUAAGUCGGAUUAGCUUGUUGGUGAGGUAAUGGCUCACCAAGGCAACGAUCCGUAGCUGGUCUGAGAGGACGACCAGCCACACUGGGACUGAGACACGGCCCAGACUCCUACGGGAGGCAGCAGU
rnacentral:rRNA from 1 species